UAACACGUAGGAGGCAAGCGUUAUCCGGAUUUACUGGGCGUAAAGCGCGUGCAGGUGGUUUGGUAAGUUGGAUGUGAAAUCUCCCGGCUCAACUGGGUGAGGUCGUUCAAAACUGCUAGACUAGAGGACGGUAGAGGAAGGUGGAAUUCCAGGUGUAGUGGUGAAAUGCGUAGAUAUCUGGAGGAACACCAGUGGCGAAAGCGGCCUUCUGGCCCGUACCUGACACUAAGACGCGAAAGCUAGGGUAGCAAACAGGAUUAGAGACCCUGGUAGUCCUAGCCGUAAACGAUGUCAACUAGGCGUUGGUGGGUUAAUAGCCAUCAGUGCCGUAGCUAACGCGAUAAGUUGACCGCCUGGGGACUACGAUCGCAAGAUUA
rnacentral:rRNA from 1 species